rnacentral:lncRNA from 1 species
AGUGCCAUCAUAAAAGGACGCAAUACGCGGCGGCUUGCAAGGCGGCGAAGAAGUAUGGUCCGUGCUCGCUCAAGUACUCUGCCGGAAUUGCCUGCUUAAUACUCCGUUAUUGCCGGACAGGAGUAGGUAGUAUAAGAAUCUUUCUCCGUAAUUGCAGCGGUCGCCAUCCACGCGGGGGCCCGAUGGCGGCGGUCCGGCAGACGGCGGCCUGACGAAUGUGCGGCUCCUCUUCUCCUUUCUCUCUGUUAAGCCGUUGUAGCUAGCUUCUGGGCUUGUGGGAUCCAAUCGAUCGACAUGAAUAGGCAUGGCAAUGUGCUCCAAAAAAAAUGACAGGUGGGACCAAGUCAGAAAAAUGGUCUAACAAAUAAAAAAAAUGUCAUUCUGUCAAAGUGCGAAAGAAAGAUGUGCUAUUUUGUCUAAAAAAUGAAGGGCGUGCGUUUGGGGCA